CCAUUUAGCUUUGUGGAUAUGUUGAAUGCACCUGAUUCGCCUGUGAAUCAAGAGAGGGCAGAGCAAAUAUCCAUACCUAUUUCGUCAAUGGAGAACCCUCCUCCUUGCACUGGAGAAGCAUAUCAAGAUCCGGUAAUAGCGACCGUUUCUACAUCGAUGGUGAGCCAUCCUUAGUCCAUUGGAGAAGCAUCUGAGGCACAG